AUUGAACGCUGGCGGCAGGCCUAACACAUGCAAGUCGAACGAGUGGCGGACGGGUGAGUAAUGUCUGGGAAACUGCCUGAUGGAGGGGGAUAACUACUGGAAACGGUAGCUAAUACCGCAUACCAUCGGAUGUGCCCCGAUGGGAUUAGCUAGUAGGUGGGGUAACGGCUCACCUCGGCGACGAUCCCUAGCUGGGCUGAGAGGAUGACCAGCCAAACUGGAACUGAGACACGGUACAGACUCCUACGGUAGGCAGCAGUGGGGAAUAUUGCAAAAUGGGCGCAAGCCGGAUACAGCCAUGCCGCGUGUAUGAAGAAGGCCUUCGGGUUGUAAAGUACUUUCAGCGGGGAGGCGGUACCCGCAGAAGAAGCACCGGCUAACUCCGUGCCAGCAGCCGCGGUAAUAC
rnacentral:rRNA from 1 species